GGGGAUAUAGCUCAGUUGGUAGAGUGUUUGUCUUGGAUUCUUGGAUGCAAAAGGCCCUGGGUUCAAUCCCCAGCACCACCA
rnacentral:tRNA from 1 species